rnacentral:lncRNA from 1 species
GGGAAAAUAUUAAAAAAAAUUGGAGGGGGGAGGGUUUGGGAUAGAUGGGAGGUGGGAUGAGAAGGGAAUAAAAGUUUUAGGGGAAAAGUGGGAGGGAGUAAAAAUUUUGAGGGAAAAUAAAAGGUUUUGAGGGUUUUUGGAAGUAAAAUUUUGAGAAAAAAUAAAUGGGAGAGUAAAAUUUUGGUGGGAAAUGGAUUUUGGGUAGAUUGGGGGGUUGGGAGGGGAGGGGAGUAAAAGUUUUGGGGAGAAAGUGGGAAGGAGUAAAAGUUUUGAGGGAAAAGUAAAAAGGUUUAGGAGUUUGGGGUAAAAAUGUAAAAUAUUAUAGUUAGAUAUUCGAAUUAUUCGAAUUAUUCGAGUUAUUCGAAUUCGAAAACUCAACUCAAUUCGAACUCGAAAUUCGAAAAAAAAAUUGAGUUGAUUCGAAUAACUCGAUUAACUCGAAUAACUCGAUUCGUUUAACUCGAAAUUCAAAUUUUUUUUGAUUUUUUC